rnacentral:rRNA from 1 species
GAUGAACGCUGGCGGCGUGCCUAAUACAUGCAAGUCGAGCGAACGGACGAGAAGCUUGCUUCUCUGAUGUUAGCGGCGGACGGGUGAGUAACACGUGGAUAACCUACCUAUAAGACUGGGAUAACUUCGGGAAACCGGAGCUAAUACCGGAUAAUAUUUUGAACCGCAUGGUUCAAAAGUGAAAGACGGUCUUGCUGUCACUUAUAGAUGGAUCCGCGCUGCAUUAGCUAGUUGGUAAGGUAACGGCUUACCAAGGCAACGAUGCAUAGCCGACCUGAGAGGGUGGUCGGCCACACUGGAACUGAGACACGGUCCAGACUCCUACGGGAGGCAGCAGUAGGGAAUCUUCCGCAAUGGGCGAAAGCCUGACGGAGCAACGCCGCGUGAGUGAUGAAGGUCUUCGGAUCGUAAAACUCUGUUAUUAGGGAAGGACAUAUGUGUAAGUAACUGUGCACAUCUUGACGGUACCUAAUCAGAAAGCCACGGCUAACUACGUG